GACGAACGCUGGCGGCGUGCUUAACACAUGCAAGUCGACGACGCUACUGAGUAGCAAUAUUUAGUAGUGGAGUGGCGCAAGGGUGAGUAAUGUAUACGUAACCAACCCAUCGGAGACGGAUAACAUUUCGAAAGGGAUGCUAAAACGGCAUGAAGCCACGAUUUCGCAUGAGAUUGUGGUUAAAGAACCGGUAACAGGUUGCCGAUGGCUGGGCGUAUAUCCGAUUAGCUAGUUGGUAGUGUAAUGGACUACCAAGGCGACGAUCGGUAGCUGGUCUGAGGAUGAUCAGCCACACUGGCACUGAGACACGGGCCAGACUCCUACGGGAGGCAGCAGUGGGGAAUAUUGGGCAAUGCCCGCAAGGGUGACCCAGCAACGCCGCGUGGAGGAUGAAGGCCGUAAGGUUGUAAACUCUGACAAGCAGGGAAGAACGGCUAUGGUAAAAGGCCAUAGAAUGACGGUACCUGCCUGAAGCCCCGGCUAACUACGUG
rnacentral:rRNA from 1 species